CCGUAAGGUGAACCUGCGGAGGGAUCAUU
rnacentral:rRNA from 1 species